CAGUCGCCGCGGUAAUACAGAGGGUGCGAGCGUUAAUCGGAUUUACUGGGCGUAAAGCGUGCGUAGGCGGCUUCUUAAGUCGGAUGUGAAAUCCCUGAGCUUAACUUAGGAAUUGCAUUCGAUACUGGGAAGCUAGAGUAUGGGAGAGGAUGGUAGAAUUCCAGGUGUAGCGGUGAAAUGCGUAGAGAUCUGGAGGAAUACCGAUGGCGAAGGCAGCCAUCUGGCCUAAUACUGACGCUGAGGUACGAAAGCAUGGGGAGCAAACAGGAUUAGAUACCCCUGAGUCCCUGUCUCUUAUACA
rnacentral:rRNA from 1 species